rnacentral:rRNA from 1 species
AGUCGAACGGUGAAGCCAAGCUUGCUUGGUGGAUCAGUGGCGAACGGGUGAGUAACACGUGAGCAACCUGCCCUGGACUCUGGGAUAAGCGCUGGAAACGGCGUCUAAUACUGGAUAUGAGACGUGAUCGCAUGGUCGUGUUUGGAAAGAUUUUUCGGUCUGGGAUGGGCUCGCGGCCUAUCAGCUUGUUGGUGAGGUAAUGGCUCACCAAGGCGUCGACGGGUAGCCGGCCUGAGAGGGUGACCGGCCACACUGGGACUGAGACACGGCCCAGACUCCUACGGGAGGCAGCAGUGGGGAAUAUUGCACAAUGGGCGGAAGCCUGAUGCAGCAACGCCGCGUGAGGGAUGACGGCCUUCGGGUUGUAAACCUCUUUUAGCAGGGAAGAAGCGAAAGUGACGGUACCUGCAGAAAAAGCGCCGGCUAACUACGUGCCAGCAGCCGCGGUAAUACGUAGGGCGCAAGCGUUAUCCGGAAUUAUUGGGCGUAAAGAGCUCGUAGGCGGUUUGUCGCGUCUGCUGUGAAAUCCCGAGGCUCAACCUCGGGCCUGCAGUGGGUACGGGCAGACUAGAGUGCGGUAGGGGAGAUUGGAAUUCCUGGUGUAGCGGUGGAAUGCGCAGAUAUCAGGAGGAACACCGAUGGCGAAGGCAGAUCUCUGGGCCGUAACUGACGCUGAGGAGCGAAAGGGUGGGGAGCAAACAGGCUUAGAUACCCUGGUAGUCCACCCCGUAAACGUUGGGAACUAGUUGUGGGGACCAUUCCACGGUUUCCGUGACGCAGCUAACGCAUUAAGUUCCCCGCCUGGGGAGUACGGCCGCAAGGCUAAAACUCAAAGGAAUUGACGGGGACCCGCACAAGCGGCGGAGCAUGCGGAUUAAUUCGAUGCAACGCGAAGAACCUUACCAAGGCUUGACAUAUACGAGAACGGGCCAGAAAUGGUCAACUCUUUGGACACUCGUAAACAGGUGGUGCAUGGUUGUCGUCAGCUCGUGUCGUGAGAUGUUGGGUUAAGUCCCGCAACGAGCGCAACCCUCGUUCUAUGUUGCCAGCACGUAAUGGUGGGAACUCAUGGGAUACUGCCGGGGUCAACUCGGAGGAAGGUGGGGAUGACGUCAAAUCAUCAUGCCCCUUAUGUCUUGGGCUUCACGCAUGCUACAAUGGCCGGUACAAAGGGCUGCAAUACCGUGAGGUGGAGCGAAUCCCAAAAAGCCGGUCCCAGUUCGGAUUGAGGUCUGCAACUCGACCUCAUGAAGUCGGAGUCGCUAGUAAUCGCAGAUCAGCAACGCUGCGGUGAAUACGUUCCCGGGUCUUGUACACACCGCCCGUCAAGUCAUGAAAGUCGGUAACACCUGAAGCCGGUGGCCCAACCCUUGUGGAGGGAGCCGUCGAAGGUGGGAUCGGUAAU